UGGGGGCUAUUGGGCUGGGAUGUUGGGUUGGGAUUGAGGUUAGGAUGUGGGAUAUAGGAUUAGGGGUGUGGGACCGGGGUUUGCAUUGGGAUGUGGGCUGUGGGGCUGGUGUUGGUGCUGGGUUUGAGGUUGGGGUUGGCAUAUAGGAUUAGAGGUGUGGGAUUGGGAUUUGCAUUGGGCUGUGGGGCCGGGAUGUGGGGUUGGGAUUGAGGUCAGGAUGUGGGAUGUAAAGAAACGUGCCCUGUUCACAGGUGGGUCGUGUGGUGUUGUGGGGAAGCACUGCAGAUGGAAAGCUGCUGUGUGGAGCCCCACAGGAUGAGUUGCAGAGGCCCCUGAAGGAAAAGGAGAAGGAAGGGCAUUUGCAGAGGGAAAGGCUGUCCCGCUGGCCUUAGGUGUUGCUGAACGGGAGGGGUGGCCAAUGCUUUCUCUUUCCACUGACUCACGGAUGGUGGCAAAUGCCUUCUGGGGGUGGUUCCAGCAGUGGGAAGAAAACAACUGGCAGCGGAGGGGUGAACCUCUUUGGGCUGCUGAGCUGUGUGCUGAACCAUAAGGAAGGUGGCUGUAAAGGUGUGCCGUGCAGAUGUCGUGUGCCCAGCAGUCGGGCCGAUGAAGAGCAACAAGUGAAGCGCCAGGUGGGUCGAGCUGCCACAAUUGAGGCUUUCUUUAUUUGCCCUUGCUUUGCUUUGCUCUGCUCUUUUGUUCCUCCUUUUCACCUCUGCUUCACAUUGCUUUGCGUUGCUUUCUGGCUUUCUUUGCUUUGCUUGAUUUCCGACUCUGCUUCUUCUCUCUUCUUCCCGUUGCUUUCGUGUUUCCUCUUUUUCAGUUGGCUUUUAAUUUGGAUGUCCUUUGUUGAUCUUUUGCUUCCAUUUCUCUUUCUGACAGUGUAACUCAGUGCUGUUCUCUGUGCGUUCCUGCUGUGCUUCUGGCUGGCUUUUGCUUUCCCCGUCGGCUGGCUUUCUCUUAUUGUUGUUCGUUCUAAAAGUAUCUCUGUGUUUUCUCCUCUUUUCAAAUGGUUUUUCUGUAGUCUCCUUUCAGUUUCCUAUUUGUUUUGUAAUUACAUUCUUCUUUGCCUUCUUUUCCUUGCCCGUAUGCUUGUCCCCUUGCCUGCCUCCUUCCUCUAGCCUUGCCCUUACUUGCUUUGCUUUGCUCUGCCUUUUAAUUCUAAUUCAGAUUUCUGUACUGCUCGCUUUGCUUCGCUUUCCAUUGUUUAUUUCCUUAAUGUGGUUUUCUUCCUUCCAGUUCAUUUCUUUGCAUUCCUUUUUUUCCUUCCCCUUUCUCCUCUUUUCCAAUGUUUUUUCUUUAGUUUCCUUUUCAGUUUCUUUUCUUUCAUUUCUUUUUAUUGUUUUUCUGGUGCUUUGCUUUGCUCUUUGGUUUUCCUUUCAUACCUUUGCUUUGCAUUUUGCAUGGCUUCAUGGUUUUCUCGCUUUGCUUUGGUUUCCUUUCUUCUUUGCUUGUUUGCUUUUCUUUCCGUGGCUUUGCUUGUAUCCUUAUUGUCAUUUUUUUUUCUUUGAACAAUUUUGGAUGGCAGUUUUUUUUCUUGUUGAAUUUCUUUGAGUCCUUUGCUUUGCCACGAUACCACAUUCUGUUUUUCCUUUUCCUUGGUAUUUCAUUGCUUUGCUAUGCCUUUUAGUUUUGCUUUUUUUUUUCCCCUUUCCAUUUUGCUUUUCUU
ensembl:lncRNA